rnacentral:rRNA from 1 species
UACGGGGGGGGCAAGCGUUGUUCGGAAUUACUGGGCGUAAAGAGUGUGUAGGCGGUGUUCCAAGUCUGGUGUGAAAUCUCCCGGCUUAACUGGGAGGGUGCAUUAGAAACUGGAAUGCUAGAGGAUGGGAGAGGUAAGUGGAAUUCCUGGUGUAGCGGUGGAAUGCGCAGAUAUCAGGAAGAACACCCUGGCGAAGGCGGCUCUCUGGGGACGGUACUGACGCUGAGACGCGAAAAGCGUGGGGAGGCGAACAGG